rnacentral:rRNA from 1 species
UGCCAGCCGCCGCGGUAAUACUGAAGGUGCAAGCGUUAAUCGGAAUUACUGGGCUUAAAGAGUUCGUAGGUGGUUGAAAAAGUUAGUGGUGAAAUCCCAGAGCUUAACUCUGGAACUGCCAUUAAAACUUUUCAGCUAGAGUAUGUUAGAGGAAAGCAGAAUUUCUAGUGUAGAGGUGAAAUUCGUAGAUAUUAGAAAGAAUACCGAUUGCGAAGGCAGCUUUCUGGAUCAUUACUGACACUGAGGAACGAAAGCAUGGGUAGCGAAGAGGAUUAGAUA